GAUGAACGCUGGCGGCGUGCUUAACACAUGCAAGUCGAACGGAAAGGCCCUGCUUGCCGGGUACUCGAGUGGCGAACGGGUGAGUAACACGUGGGUGAUCUGCCCUGUACUUUGGGAUAAGCCUGGGAAACUGGGUCUAAUACCGAAUAUGACAAUUGUUUGGAUGCGAUUGUGGAAAGCUUUUGCGGUAUGGGAUGAGCUCGCGGCCUAUCAGCUUGUUGGUGGGGUAAUGGCCUACCAAGGCGUCGACGGGUAGCCGGCCUGAGAGGGUGUACGGCCACAUUGGGACUGAGAUACGGCCCAGACUCCUACGGGAGGCAGCAGGGGGGAAUAUUGCACAAUGGGCGCAAGCCUGAUGCAGCGACGCCGCGUGGGGGAUGACGGCCUUCGGGUUGUGUACUCCUUUCGCAACCGACGAAGCCUUUUGGUGACGGUAGGUUGAGAAGAAGCACCGGCUAACUACGUG
rnacentral:rRNA from 1 species